ACACUGAGUUUGCAAACCUGGAGUUUUCGGUUUCAGAACAGCUGAUAAGAGUUGGUUUAAGCAACUCCGAGUUGAUUGGCUCAGAGUUAAGCGCGUGCACCGCGACGAUACAAAGCCCUGAUCAAUGGAGUGAAGAUAUUACGAGUCACCAUGGCAACAGGACAACAAAAGACGUCCGGAAAUGGAUAUGACCUCAAAGAAAAAGCGACUACAAGCCUAUAUUUCGUAGAAAAAGCAACACGGCUGCAGCGACGAAAGAGAAAUAAUUAGCUUCGAAGGAAAUAGCUGCUCGAGUCAAUGCUUAAGUUUACAUUUAAAUCAUAUCGUGUUCAGUGUAACCAUGCACCAUCUUAUCAUGGGUGUAGACUACCUGACUUUACAACAUUUGACAUAUUAAAUAAAUAAAUAGCAUGCAGAGUAUAGCAGUGCAGCAGCAUUUUCAACAUCGGUGUAAUGAUAAUGAUAAUAAUCAUUUGACUUCUACUCAGCCAACAGAAAGAAGGUAGAGGCUAGAACAACUGGUGGAGGACCUGCACCACCACCACUGACACAUGCAGAGGAGAAGGCCCUCAGCCUGAACCCUGGAAAGCAGAGGCUGAAGGAAUUCUGGGAGGGAGUUCAUCAAAACCAGUCACUCCCCAGGAUAGAAGUGCAUCUGUAAAAUAUUCUGAUGAAAAUAUAUGAAUCUUCCUGUCACAACAGAAGCCCAGGAUGUUAGUGUGAAAGAACAGCAGGAGGAGGGUAUGUCACAUUCUGCUGCACAGAUGGACACAUUACCGGUUAAGGAGGUGUAUAAACUAAAUCUCAAGGAAAUGUUAUACUUGGACCGCCAGAUUGAAAAGACAGAUCUAGAAACUGAAAUUCUCAAACAAAAGCUUGAGGAAAUGAAGAAAACCAAAUAAAUUGUGAUUUGCAAUUGCAUGCAAUUUUUAUUCUUUUAGUGUGUGAUUAAUGUGUAAUCAAAAGGGGGGAAUUUAUUGGAAAAAUUGUGCCUUUGUGCUAUUUCUUAUCCAACACAGUCGUCAUGUGCUGGUUAGGUGCAAUACUGAACUGAACAUUCUUACACAAACAAAUAAUCUCUUGUGCCCUGUCGUACAUCAAGUCUAAACAUCUGAUGUUCCAUUUGACUGACUAAUAAUUUAUGAUAUAUGUUUGUCUUUUACACCCGGACUCUGGCUCCUUCCUAUCUGACUCCCCACCAGACCCAAGGCUGUUAAAGCGAAUGCAUCUUGUCUUGGAAGCUCGGUGUUCCUUCCUUUGGAUAACAAGACAUGAUGAUGCAGAAAUGAGAAAGCAAACAUUCUCACUCACAGCGAGAUAAGGUGGCGCAAACAAUUCUAUUGGUGCAGAGAGACACCAGGGGUUAGGGGAAAGGGGUUAAAAGGCAGAAGCAACUUCAGGAUCGUGGGCUCUUUGCAUCACACCUUCGUGGUGUGUGCACUAAUCUCCCCAGCUGGUUUUGGGUUUGUUGAUUUGCACGAUCAACAUCCAUGUUUUUUAUUUGCUUUCCCCAUUAUUUUUAUUUUCUUUAUUAUUUCAGUAAAUUGCACAAAAGGACAACUCUCCACACAUUAACCCCUAUCUCCAGCAGAAAGCCGUCAAUCUCUCCUAUAAGAAAGUUCACAUUACUUUAGUGCUGGAAAGAAGUGCUUCUGUGAGUGUGAGUGCAUGCAUUGAACUAAGUGUAUAGGACAUACAUGUACUUACCAUAGUUCAGCCUGUUACUUAGGGUUGACUUACAAUAUAUUCAUGAGUCAUAUCAAAAGUAGCCUAUUUGGAAGGCACUUGGCCUCCACGUUUGUGAUAACAUGUGCAUCAUCACAAAGGAUCUUGGUGGUGUAAACAAUGAUACGUCAGUUACAGUAUGGUGAUGUAGUCUUUGACCAUUAGAAAGAGUAGUCAGUGCACCUGUACAUUUAUUAGUUUAUUUCAGUUCACAGCAAGAUGUCAUCAACUGAUCAUCAUUUUUCAGAUUAGCCUCACUGAAAGAAUUAAAUACCACAUACCUGCAAUCCUGUGAAACUCCUCUUUAAUGGCUCUGAGGAGUUUGUGUCAAGGAAAGCGCUUGAGGUCAAACCUUUCUACAUACAGUGGCUUCACUAACGUGCUCAGCAUCUCCAAUGUUAUAAAGAAAACUACGGUUUGCAAAAAAAACGUAACGCAACACAAAGAAUCUGCUUGGAUGUAAGAGCACGGCCACGAUGGGUAAUGUGUCUGAUGUAUAGGUGGAUAAGAUUAUUGACAUAUGUUAUACAGUAGUAGAGUCUCGACAAAAACGGUACUGCUCAAAUAAAUAUGCAGUUGACAGUGAAGUUACUGUGUUAAAUUUAAGUCUGGUAUUCCCCUUUGCCUGCAGAGUUAUGAGUGAUGCUUUAUGUUCCUUACACUGUGCUUAAGUUCGUUCGUACGUACGUAACAUACAUAAAUGUAUGUCAUAGUAAGUAUUGAUGGAAAUGCAUUUUGAUUAAAAUUUACUAAAAUUAACUUUUUUCAGUGUAGGCUUACCUUACCUUUGCGUUACAUGCCCAGCUGGAAUGUACAGUAUUAGUUUCCACCAAACAUCCUUGCCUGUCUAUGUGAACUGAACUAAUGUUUGAAGCACAUAAUAAAAAUGCUGCUG